rfam:Danio rerio chromosome 4, GRCz11 reference primary assembly.
GCUCGUGUAGUUCAGUCGGUAGAGCAUGAGACCCUUAAUCUCAGGGUUGUGGGUUCGAGCCCCACGUUGCGUG